rnacentral:rRNA from 1 species
ACGUAGGGACCGAGCGUUGUCCGGAAUCAUUGGGCGUAAAGAGCGUGUAGGCGGCCCAGUAGGUCUCGUGUUAAAUCCCGCGGCUCAACCGCGGACCUGCACGGGAAACCCCUGGGCUCGAGUCCGGAAGGGGAGAGUGGAAUUCCUGGUGUAGCGGUGAAAUGCGCAGAUAUCAGGAAGAACACCCGUAGCGAAGGCGGCUCUCUGGGACGGUACUGACGCUGAGACGCGAAAGCGUGGGGAGCAAACAGG